AACGAACGCUGGCGGCAUGCCUAACACAUGCAAGUCGAACGAGACCUUCGGGUCUAGUGGCGCACGGGUGCGUAACGCGUGGGAACCUGCCCUUAGGUUCGGAAUAACUCCCCGAAAGGGGUGCUAAUACCGGAUAAUGUCUUCGGACCAAAGAUUUAUCGCCUUUGGAUGGGCCCGCGUUGGAUUAGCUAGUUGGUAGGGUAAGAGCCUACCAAGGCGCCGAUCCAUAGCUGGUCUGAGAGGAUGAUCAGCCACACUGGGACUGAGACACGGCCCAGACUCCUACGGGAGGCAGCAGUGGGGAAUAUUGGACAAUGGGCGAAAGCCUGAUCCAGCAAUGCCGCGUGAGUGAUGAAGGCCUUAGGGUUGUAAAGCUCUUUUACCCGGGAUGAUAAUGACAGUACCGGGAGAAUAAGCUCCGGCUAACUCCGUG
rnacentral:rRNA from 1 species